rnacentral:rRNA from 1 species
AUGUGGCGUUCGCGAGCUCGCGCUCUCCUCCUGCUCCGCUCGUCCGUCCCCAGAUCGCCACCGCCGCAGCAAAAUCCACUUCGGAGCCUGGCCCGAGGCCCACCCCCGCCACCACGCCUUCUCUCCCGCUUCCUCUCCUCCUCCUCCCCGGAGGCCCUGCCGGACGCCCCCUCCUCCGCUGCGGAGGCCCUCCCGGAUGACCCCUUCGCCUUCCCGCCCGGCGCCAUAUCCGGAUCGGCUGAUCCCACCGAGGCCGACGAGGACAACCUUGCCGCGCUCUGGGAGGAGGAUGCGGGCGACGCCGACGACAUCUUCGUCUCCGCCGCCUCCUCCGACACCGCCGAUCCCGAAGCCAGGGACGAGGAGGUCGCCCGCGUCCGCGCCGUCGUGGAGUCCACCCCGGAGGACCAGAUCCCCACCGCUAUCGCCGACAUGGUCGUUGACUUCACCGAGCCGCUCCUAGCCGCCAUCCUCCUCUCCGCCGAGAACUGCUCUGGUAAAAAGCUGCUCCUCUUGUUCAAGUCUGCCGGGAAGAACAACCCUGAUGUCAAGAGCCUUGCCAAUCUUGACAUCGUCGCGAGCAAGGUUGCUGAUUCAGCUCAGAUUGACAAGAUGGACGCGUACAUGCUCUGGGAUUUGGUGAAGGAAAUGGGCAGUGUGCCAGGAUCAUUGAGCAUCCCACUGCUGAACAAAGUGCUAGCAAUGUUCUGGAAGCUCGAGAAAUCAAAGGCGGCGCUAGAGGUGCUUGACAAGUUCAGUGAGUUUGGCUGCACUCCGGACGGCGACAGUUAUUAUCUGGCGAUUCAAGCGGCUGGAAAGAAGUCCAUGGUUGGUGCUGCAUGGGGAGUUUGCGAGAAGAUGAUUAGCUCUGGGCGCUUCCCUGAUGGGGAGAAGGCCGGUGAGAUUGUGACCUUCUUUUGCAAGGGGAAGAAGGUGAAGGAGGCACAUUCAGUAUACCUAGCAGCGAAGGAGAAGAAGGUUCAGAUUCCUACGUCAUCCUUGGAUUUCCUUGUUGGUGCUUUGGCGAAGAAUGAUGAGACCGUCAGUAUGGCUCUGGAGCUGCUGGAGGAAUACAAAGGAGAGUCUCUUAAGCAUGCAGGCAAGUCCUUUGCUGCCGUUAUACAUAGUUUGUGCAGGGUGAAGAAUGUGAAGGAUGCAAAGAAGCUGUUGAUGAGGAUGGUGAAUCUUGGCCCAGCUCCUGGUAGUGCAGUGUUCAACUUUGUCAUUACAGGAUUGUCUAAAGAGGGAGAAAUGGAGGACGCAAAGGAUAUGAUUAGGGUGAUGGAGAGCCGAGGGCUGCGCCCUGAUGUUUAUACAUACAGCGUGAUCAUGAGUGGCUACGCAAAGGGAGGCAUGAUUGAUGAAGCCCAUUCUCUACUUCGCGAAGCUAAGAAGAUCUAUCGAAAACUAAACAGGGUUACUUAUCACAUACUGAUCCGUGGUUACUGCAAGAUGGAGGAGUUUGAGAAGGCCCUGGAGUGCCUAAAGGAGAUGAAGAAGGACGGGGUGCAGCCAAAUGUGGAUGAGUAUAACAAACUCAUCCAGUCGUUAUGUCUGAAGGCUAUGGACUGGAGAACAGCUGAGAAGCUCCUGGAGGAAAUGGAGGGCAGUGGACUAUACCUUAAGGGCAUUACCCGCAGCCUCAUAGCAGCAGUCAAGGAAUUGGAAAUGGAAGAGGUGUCAAAAGACAGCCAAGAAGCAUAG